rnacentral:rRNA from 1 species
UACGGAGGGUGCAAGCGUUAAUCGGAAUUACUGGGCGUAAAGCGCACGCAGGUGGCUGAGCGAGUCGAUUGUGAAAGCCCUGGGCUUAACCUGGGAAUUGCAGUCGAUACUACUCAGCUAGAGUAUGGGAGAGGGAUGUGGAAUUCCAGGUGUAGCGGUGAAAUGCGUAGAUAUCUGGAGGAACACCGGUGGCGAAGGCGGCAUCCUGGACCGGUAUUGACGCUGAGGCGCGAAAGCUAGGGGAGCAAACGGG